rnacentral:rRNA from 1 species
CGUAGGUGACGAGCGUUAUCCGGAAUUAUUGGGCGUAAAGCGCCCGCAGGCGGCUGUUCAAGUCUGACGUGAAAUCGCUCGGCUUAACUGGGCGGGGUCGUUGGAAACUGAAUAGCUUGAGGCAAGGAGAGGGGCGUGGAAUUCCCGGUGUAGUGGUGGAAUGCGUAGAUAUCGGGAGGAACAUCAGUGGCGCAAGCGGCGCCCUGGCCUUAGCCUGACGCUCAGGGGCGAAAGCGUGGGGAGCGAACGGGAUUAGAUACCCCGGUAGUCCACGCCGUAAACGAUGAACACUAGGUGUGGGUGGGUUCAAAACCAUCUGUGCCGCAGCCAAACGCGUUAAAGUGUUCCGCCUGGGGAGUACGGUCGCAAGGCUA